CGAUCGGCCCGCGGGAAUGAAUGCUCCCUCCGGAGGAAGAAGCCAUCGCAGGGAGGAGUUGUGAUUUGGGAUAUUUUCAGAAACGUGGGAGAAAAUUGAGCUUCCAGCUCAAAAUAAGUACCAGGGGGAGGAGCCUUGGCGCGCACCUGGUCCACUGGUGGCUGCAAGUGUAAAUGCAUUCUACUGGAUAUUCACGGACUUCCUGUGAGUAUGACUUAGUGUGUUGAGAAAUCUGUUUGGACAAUCAGGUAGAACUACAAAGUCACGUGCUCGAACUCUGAGCCUGGCGGCUCUUCUUGAGCCAAGACCGCCGCAUUGCACUGCUUGGCACCAGCAGGCAGUUCAGUGAUCAUGGUGUGGUUCCACCUAUAUCUUCAUUACACACGUUAAGGAGAAAGCUCAAGAUGCCGGUGGGCAAAUCCAAAUAACUGCUCAGGCCAUUUGCCCCUUGUUCCUCAGGUCACACUAGCAAUACCUAUAGAUCAGCUAUCUCUCAGGCUGUUCUGUAUGAACGGUUGGGAACUGCUGGCCAUGGCCCAUAGGCAGUAGUGGCCGACCUAAGCUGUGUUUCAGAACGUUGGUGUCCAAAACCAUGCUGCAUUGAAAAGAACAGUCGGAAGUGCUAGGAAGGGUCGUCUUACCGUUUGUUUGUUUUGGUUGGUGUUAGUUUUUAAAUCAGGGUGUCUCUGUGCAGCUCUGGCUGUCGAGGAACUCACUCUGUAGACCAGGCUGGCCUUGAACUCACAGAAGUCUACCUGUCUCUGGCUCCCAAGUGCUGGGAUUAAAGGCGUGCGCCACCACUGCCUGGUGGGAUGGGACAUCUAACUAUGAAUAUGUCUGAGCCACUUGUGUGCUGCCCAGCCCCUGUAGAUUGCCCUGUGGUUAAGAGGAAUAAUACCUCAAAUAUUUAUUUUUAUUGUUUUGUUUUUGUUUUUGAUGAGUGUGUGUGUGUGUGUGUGUGUGUGUGUGUGUGUGUGUGUGUCUGCAGAGGCAAGAAGAAGGCAUCAGAUACCCUGGAGUUGAAAUUUUAGGUAGUGAAGAGCUCCCUGAUAUGCAUGCUGGGAACUGAACUCAGGUCCUAUGGAAGAAUAGCGAGUAGUCUUAACUGCCGAGCCAUCACUCCAGUCCCAGGAGAACAAUAUUAUAAAUUCCACUCAACCCCCCCCCUUUUUUUUUCUUGAGACAAGUUUCUAUUAUAUACCCCUGGAUGGCCUGAAACUAUGUAGAUAAGGCUGAUCUCGAACUUAAAAGAGAUCCUCCUGCCUCUGCUUCCUGACUAUUGGGAUUAAAGACCAAGGCUGCCAUGCUCGGCAAAGGGGAAAGUUCCUGAUGUUGCUUUUAAAGAGAGACAGGGACAAGAGUUUUCAGAUAUUAAAAUCAUCCGGAAUAAGGUGAUCUGUGGGAGGAGGGGCCAGUCUCCUCCAGUGGUGAGAAGGGGAGACUUGAGUGUUUAAGAUCCCCUCCCCCCUUUAAUCCCAGCACUCGCAGAGGCAGGUGGAUUUCUGAGUUUGAGGUCAGCCUGGUCUACAGAGGGAGUUCCAGGACAGCCAGGACUACACAGAGAAACCCUGUCUCGAAAACACCCCCCCCGAAAAUCCCCUCCCCCACCAGCUAUAGGACAAGGCGUUGAAAUAGAGGAGAAGAUACAUGCUUGACCUCGAAAUUUCAUUUAGUAUUUUAAUAAUAUAAAAAAGACAAUACAAAAUCCAAACAUUCCUUUUUACAAGUUCAGAUACAUAUUUUUUCCCCCAAGUGCAAAAUAUUCUGUGUACCACAUUUCUGCUGCCUAUUGUCGACUGAGAUGCUUGCUGUGUGGAAGGCAGUGGGAGGCAGACAUAAAUACAGUAUUUUAAGAUUUUCUUCUGCAUUAAAAAAAAAAAAAAAGAAAAGCCGCCGUCCACGUGAUAAUCAUUCUCUGAAAGUUCGACUCA